UUACCUACGGGACGCAGCAGUGGGGAAUAUUGGGCAAUGGGCGCAAGCCUGACCCAGCAACGCCGCGCGAAGGAAGAAGGCUUUCGGGUUGUAAACUUCUUUUAUCAGGGACGAAGCAAGUGACGGUACCUGAUGAAUAAGCCACGGCUAACUACGUGCCAGCAGCCGCGGUAAUACGUAGGGGGCGAGCGUUGUCCGGAAUCACUGGGCGUAAAGGGCGCGUAGGCGGUUUAAUAAGUCAGUGGUGAAAACUGAGGGCUCAACCCUCAGCCUGCCACUGAUACUGUUAGACUUGAGUAUGGAAG
rnacentral:rRNA from 1 species